rnacentral:sRNA from 1 species
GAUACCCAAAACAAUGAAAGCCCUACCUCUCUUCCAUCCUUACGGCUCCUUGUCCGUGCCAGUGUGAAUCAGGAUACUAAAAACAAG